AUAGUUCCUGUGUUUCUAAUCACAUGGCAGCUGUUUGCGUGGUAAUAGUCUGCUCCGAGUUUUAUAGAAGCUGCGUUUCUUAAUUGAGUGCUUUGAAGAGUCUUAAGACCAUGCAGAAAGCAGAGUAGGGGCCCCCUCUCUGGCAGGGUUAGCUUGUAACACAGUUUGAAAUAUUUUUCAGGGAUGGUCACAGCCUUCCCUGUUAGUGUCCACAUUUCUUGGGAAGCAGUGGCCCAGACACAGGGCUCCUGCAAGCCUGGGCAUAAAACCUCACUUACGGAGGAAGCCUCGUUGGACCAGUGUGGGCCUGAGCUCUUCAUCACAGCUAGGGUCCUUCUCUAGCUUGUAGCAACAGAAACUGGCCCAGGGCUUUGCUUUUCUUCUGACCAGGUGGAACCUGAAUACGACACCCAUUUUUGAUUUUGCAAAAGGCAAGUCUUCCAGCUUCUGGGACAGACGCGUCUGACACCAGGGGAAAACUACAGUUGCGUGGUCCCUUACUCCAUCUGCCGGCUCUGCAUCCUUACCCUGUGCCCACCUCCUGGCUCUGGCUGGCUGUUGGCACCCCGCACCCGCGGGUUCCCUAUUGCAGCACCGGGAAGGCCUUUCGGGAGAUUUCUACUGUCAUUUGCAGAUAUCACCAUCAACCUAUUGGCAUAUCUAUGCUGUUCUGUCCUGGCCAUUGUACACAUAGUCUACCAGCCUGACUGCUGAUGAGCCCUUCCCAACCAGGUGUGCUCCUGUGACCGUUUAUCGACAGAGAAGAGUGGUGGCAACUUGCAGGAAUACUUUGCCUAAUCAGGCUGUUUUGUGGACAUUUCCUUCACUUUACCAACCUUCUUAACUCUUAAUUUUGUAAAGCUAAAAAUAGCAUACACCAAUCAUUGUACCAUCUGGAGGGAGGUGCACCUGUUUUCUUCCCCUCUCAGGACAUGUGUACCUGCCUAGGAAAAGGGGGUGCAUUCUGGACAGUUUGGCAGAAUGGCGAGGGAAGAUAUUUGUAUAAUUUGAACCUGCAAAUAUUUUUAAUUGCAAUAAUGAGAGAGUUGCUAUUCUGAUUACUCAGCACAAAGAGAACACUUGUCUAAUUCUCCAGUUAAUUUGAUCCAUGCAGAUAGCUUAUUUUCCAGAAUCCAUUUAGCACUAAAUCUGAAGUGAUGGUCCAAACUACAGAAUUAUCCAUGUAACUAUUUAAUGAGCUUUUUACCUUCUGGAGCCUGUACACCCAGUCAGGAGAAAAAUAAGCAUUGUUCCCUUCUAUUAGUCAUAUAACUUUUAAAAGUCUUUGUAGUGUUUUAUCACCCUCCCCUGUUUGUUCACUCUGGGCUUUGAGUGCAGAAACAAGAUAGAUUCAGAGCACAGGGGGAGUGCAUUUGUUCUAUUUCCACAGAGUUUCAUAGCAUUAUUAUUAGGCUUUUUGCAUGUUUAUUCUUCAAAGGAACUGUUUUUUCCUUACUCAGCCAUCGGCAAGAGGGCAUUUCUUAGCUUCUCCUCUUUAAAUCUCUGAUCUGAAGGUCAUCAAGGUGAACGAUGAUGUAUUCCCUUCUGACUGUGAGUAAAUGCAAGCAGUCCCGGCCCACCAGCUGCCUGCUAAAGUGAUUUAGCUGCUGUGUACCUGCACCAGAGCUCAGAACACAAACGGGGCAACCACUGAACCUCAAAUUAAGCCAGCAGCCACAUUCCAGUUGCCAUGCUGUGGCUGUGUCACCUGCUGCGGCAUUUCAGCAGGAUGCUGGUGAGCAUGUGGGGCUACAUUCUGUGCCGUCAGCCUCUGUGAGGUUCUCUUUGCCACGUCAAGUUUCUCAUACAAGUCAUGGUGAUAGAAAACCAUUGUUGGGAUGCUGGAGUUGGUUUGGUGGGAUCCUUACAAGAGACAGUGCUAUUUGCCAGUCUUUAUGCAGGAGAGGGAGGAAAACCAGGCCUUUCUUUGGUUGUCUUCAUAGACAUAUUCCCGUAAAGCUUCUGAGGCUAAUUGUGGUGAAAAUGUGCCAGGUAGACCCCUUUCAUGCCAACCAUAAUUAAUAGUAUUAUAGUCUUCAAGGCCAUAAUGCUCAUCAGUUAUUAAUUAGCAAUUCAUUUUGUUGAACAAAUAACACUUAUGAUUGAUGAUAGAACUUGUAAUUGGGCACUAGAAGUGGCCCUCCUGGGACUGACUUACCAGCAGAUAUUAACCACGACACAGUAAUGAAAAACACAGAGGAUCAUCCAGGAAAAUCCAUGUUAAACAAUUGUGACACAGCCAAGGUGUUCCUUCUCAACAGGAGAAAAUCCCAUCUUGAGUGUUGGGUGUGUAUCCUGGGUCUGAGUGUGUUAAUUGUUUCUAGUCAC
ensembl:lncRNA